GACGGAGGAUGCAAGUGUUAUCCGGAAUCACUGGGCGUAAAGCGUCUGUAGGUGGUUUAAAAAGUCCACUGUUAAAGAUUGAAGCUUAACUUCAAAAAUGCCGUGGAAACUUUUAAACUUGAGUAUGAUAGGGGUAGAGGGAAUUUCCAGUGGAGCGGUGAAAUGCGUAGAUAUUGGAAAGACCACCAAUGGCGAAGGCAUUCUACUGGGCCAUUACUGACACUGAGAGACGAAAGCUAGGGGAGCAAAUGGG
rnacentral:rRNA from 1 species